rnacentral:rRNA from 1 species
AAUGAACGCUGGCGGCAUGCCUAACACAUGCAAGUCGAACGAAGGCUUCGGCCUUAGUGGCGCACGGGUGCGUACCGCGUGGUAAUCUGCCCAUGGGUUCGGAAUAACAGUUAGAAAUGACUGCUAAUGCCGGAUGAUGUCGUAAGACCAAAGAGUUAUCGCCAAAGGAGGAGCCCGCGGAGGAUGAGCUAGUUGGUGGGGUAAAGGCCCACCAAGGCGACGAUCCUUAGCUGGGCUGAGAGGGUGAUCAGGCACAAUGGGACUGAGACACGGACCAGCCGACUACGGGGGGCAGCAGGGGGGAAUAUUGGACAAUGGGCGAAAGCCUGAACCAGCAAUGCCGCGUGAGUGAUGAAGGCCUUAGGGUUGUAAAGCUCUUGUACCCGGGAUGAUAAUGACAGUACCGGGAGAAUAAGCUCCGGCUAACUUCGUGCCAGCAGCCGCCGUAAAAC